rnacentral:rRNA from 1 species
UACGGAGGGUGCAAACGUUGCUCGGAAUCAUUGGGCGUAAAGCGCACGUAGGCGGCUCGUUAAGUCGGAUGUGAAAGCCCUGGGCUCAACCCAGGAAGUGCAUUCGAAACUGGCGAGCUUGAAUAUGGAAGAGGGUCGCGGAAUUCCCGGUGUAGAGGUGAAAUUCGUAGAUAUCGGGAGGAACACCAGUGGCGAAGGCGGCAUCCUGGACCGGCAUUGACGCUGAGGCGCGAAAGCCAGGGGAGCAAACGGG